CCCUUAGAUGUUCUGGGCUGCACGCGCGCUACACUGAUGCGUUCAACGAGCUUGCUGCUUCGAGAGGGGUGGCGAAUCUGUGAAACCGCAUCGUGAUGGGGAUAGACCCUUGCAAUUAUCCUUCAUGAACGAGGAAUUCCCAGUAAGUGCAAGUCAUAAGCUUGCGCUGACUACGUCCCUGCCCUUUGUACACACCGCCCGUCGCUACUACCGAUUGAAUGAUUUAGUGAGGACUUCGGACUGGGACCGAUGCGGCUUUCGGGCUGCGUCGGUAUUCUGGAAAGAUGUCCAAACUGUAUCAUUUAGAGGAAGUAAAAGUCGUAACA
rnacentral:rRNA from 1 species